rnacentral:lncRNA from 1 species
AUGGCAGAAUCAUCCAGUGAUUCCGACCACUUCCGCUAUCGUGACAGAUUGAGUCGAUGGGCAGCCAGGUCAGUUCAAAGGGGAAUUGGAAGUCGUUCUACAGUAGAUGUCACCGCAAAGGUCAACACCAUAACCAGUACUUUACAGGACACCACUCGGAAUCUGCGACAAAUGGAUCAGAUGCUUGGGCGAUAUCGAGAAUACAGCCUUGGACAGGCGGGCGCUGUUGGGCAGUUAAAGGAAGAUUUGGAGCAGUCAAUAAACCAGCUGAGGAGUCAGCGCUUACGGAGAAGCUCAGGAGGGAGAAGUGUUUCUGUCACCAGCCUGAGUGCAAGUGACUUCGAUGGUGGCGCUGUGGCAGAGAGUCUCCGCUUUACACCUACCUCACCUCUGAAGGACUAUGAUCCACAGGGUAUUAAACGGAACAGGUUCAGAACUGGCGUUCGGUUUGUUUCGGAAACAGACGACAUGGUCCAGCUCCAUACCUUUCAUCAGUCCCUCCGUGACCUCAGUAGUGAACAAGUUCGGCUUGGAGAUGAUUUCAACAAGGAGCUUUUCAGAAGAAGCCGGUCCGAUGCUGAAACAAAAAGGGUGUUAGAAGAAUUGACCGAAAAGCUUAACGAGGCCCAGAAACAAGAUGUGGUUUCAGAUCGAGUGGAGCGGCGGCUUCAGGAAAUAGAAAGAGAGAUGCGCUUUGAAAGAGAGCUGGUGGAGAGACGCCAUGAUCAGCUGGGACUCGUGUCCUUGAAGCUUCAGGAGGCACUGAAGAAACAAGAGGCUAAAGGCGAUGAGAACGAGGACAUAAUAAAGAACAAGCUGCGACAGACUGAAACUGAGAAGAGCCAACUGGAGCAGGAAUUGGAGAUCUCGCGCAGGCUGCUGAGCCAAUCUGAAGGGAGUAGAGAAACGCUUUUGCAUCAGGUGGAAGAACUGCGUACACAACUUAUUAAAGCAGAAGGUGACCAAAGGGGUUUGCAGCAUCAAGUAUCUUGCAUUUCCAAGCAACCGUCAAGCCACCAGGAUGAUCAAGGGGAUGACCGGAGGUUUAGAAGAGGAGUAGAGCGGGAGAAACAGAAUCUGGAGAAGCAGAUGGCAGAUCUGCGAGUGCAGCUCAACUUCAACGCCAUGGCUUCUGAGUUGGAGGAAGUGAAGCGGUGCAUGGACCGGAAAGACCUGGAGAAAGCAAACUUGGCAGCCAAAAUAGAGAAUCUAACACGUGACUUGGAGAACAGGGAAAAACAACAGCUGCAGAUGUUGGAUCAACUUACGGAGAUCCAGAAUCACUUUGAGACCUGUGAGGCCACUCGUAAGCAGACCGACCUCCAGAUCUCAGAGCUGAGUCAGCACGCAGAGGAAGCGACCAAGCAGGCUGAGCACUACCUUAGUGAGUUCCAGAGGUCGGAAGCCCUGCGAGAGGAGGCUGAGAAGAGGAGAGAGGACCUGAAAGCGAAGGCCCAGGACGCCAUCCGGCAGUGGAAGCUGAAGCACAAGAAAUUGGAACGGUCAAUGGAGAAACAAGGUGAAACCCUUGUCCAGCUGACAGAGAAGAACAACCAGGUUCUGAAAGAGAGGGAUGAAUUGAAAGGCCAGCUUUGUGCAGCGUUACAGCAGAUAGAGAAUCUCAGGAAGGAACUUAAUGAUGUCUUAAGCAAGCGUGCCCUGCAGGACGAGGAGCUUCACUGUAAGGAGAAGAAACUGAAUGACAUUGAGUCCCACCGAGCUGAACUUGAACUGGAGGUCAAGAAUUCCCUGGACACCAUCCACAGACUAGAAAAUGAGUUGAAAAGACAGAGUAUGAUUCAAAACCAGAUCAAAGCAGAAAAAUUUCACCUGGAGGAAGAAAUUACAGAGCUAAAGGAGAGCCAGUCCCAAGACAAAGUCAAACUUCUUGAGAUGCAGGAGUCCAUCAAGGACCUGAGUGCCGUCCGAGCAGAUCUCGCUAAUAGAUUGGCUGAGGAAGAGAGAGCCAAGAAAGCUGCAUUCAGGGACCUUUCUGAGCUGACGGCCCAGGUAAAAUCGAAGGAAGAAGAGACUGUGACUGCUGUCACACAGUUAAAGUUAGAGCGAGACGUUCACCAGAGGGAGCUGGAGGACCUCACCUCAUCGUUGGAGAGUGUGAAGGUGAAGCACGAGCAGAAUAUCCAGGAGCUGAUGAGGCACUUUAAGAACGAGAAGAGUGAAGCGGAGAGCCAUAUCAGGACGCUGGAGGCAGAAAGCUUGGAAGAUAAGAAAGUGGCUAAAGCCCAUCUCGGUCAGCUAGAGAAGUUGAAAUCCAAGUGCGAGAAACUGGCGGAGGAAUUAACCCAGAAUGAAAAAAUGAGAACAAGAAACUGAAGCUAAGAAUACGCAGAGUCUGAAGGAGGAACUAGAAGCAAAGGAGAAACAUAUAAGUAAUGAAGAGGAGCACUUAAGGAGGAUGGAAGAAUCCAGGCUGCAGCUCAAGGAUCAGCUUCUUUGUCUGGAGACAGAACAGGAAUCCAUUCUUGGUGUAAUAGGAAAAGAAAUUGAUGAAGCUUGUAAAACUUUCUCCAGAGACUCAGCAGAGAAACUGAAAGUGUUUACCUCUGGUCCUCAAAUACAUUAUGACCCACAUCGAUGGUUAGCUGAAAGCAAGACCAAGUUGCAGUGGCUGUGUGAGGAACUGAAGGAGAGAGAGAGCAGAGAGAAGACCUUGCGGCGGCAGCUGGCGGCCAGUAGACAGGAGCUCAGGGAGCUGACGCAGCACAAGGAGUCUGAGCUCCUGUGUCUGUUUGAGCACAUUGAGAGGCAGGAACAGCUUCUGGAGGAGUUCCACCAGGAGAAGAGAGGUCUGCUAGAAGAGACUCAAAGGAAAGAUGAAGAAGUGGAAACUCUCCAGGACCGAGUAAAUGCAUUACAGAUGAGUACCCGAGUGGCCCUGGACCAUCUGGAGUCUGUGCCUGAGAAACUGAGCCUGCUAGAGGAUUUCAAAGACUUCAGAGGUUCCUCCAGUUUAUCUGUGAAAAGUGAUGGCAGAUACUCUAAAUACAGUCUCCACGGAGAUUCUGCUCAACAGCGCCGAGAUGACACCAAGUACAGAAUCAAGACCUUUAGGGACGACAGACCCUUUUCUGCCGGUUCCCACGCUCAUGGCCUAGAUCACUCCUCCUCUUGGCAGGACCACAGUCGCUUCCUGUCUACUCCACAGUUUUCACACUGCUUGCCAGCAUUUACCAAAAGAACCAUUGCCUCAGAUCCAGCUUCAAUCAAGGGAGAUGCCCCAGGUUUACCAGCGAAUGGAACAAGUCUACAGUCCAAGAGGGAGGAGUAUGAGAGCAAAAAAUCCAAA